rnacentral:ncRNA from 1 species
UUAUCAUCAGCUUACCCCUAACUUACACAUGCAAGUAUCAGCACGCCCGUGAGAACGCCCUUAAACCUUAUUAGGACAAGGAGCCGGUAUCAGGCACAGACUAUCUAGCCCAUGACACCUAGCUUUGCCACUCCCUCAAGGGUAUUCAGCAGUGAUUAACAUUGUUUAUAAGCGCCAGCUUGAAUCAGUUAAGGGGCACAGAGCCGGCCAAUACGGUGCCAGCCGCCGCGGCUACACCGCUAGGCUCAAGUUGAUAUUAUGCGGCGUUAAGCGUGUUUAAAGUGCUAAAGAGAUUAAAAUUAAAAUAUAACUAAGCUGGUACCCGCUUGGUAAUAAGAAAAACAAAUACCAAAGUUAUUCCAACCCAUCCCCUUGAACCCCCGACAGCUAAAAAACCAACUGGGAUUAAGUACCCCACUAUGCCUAACCGUAAAAUAUUUAUUUACACCUUUAACCGCCCGGGAAUUACGAGCCCAAGCUUAAAACCCAAAGGACUUGACGGUGUCCCACCCACCUAGAGGAGCCUGUUCUAUAAUCGAUUCUCCCCGAUAUACCUCACCGUUUCUAGCUUUUCAGCCUGUAUACCUCCGUCGUAAGCUUACCCUAUGAACGCUUUUUAGUGAGCUAAAAGAUCUUCACAUAAAUACGUCAGGUCAAGGUGCAGCCUACGAAACGGCAAGAAAUGGGCUACAAUUUCUACAAUAGAACACAACGAAAGACUACAUGCAACUUAGUCAUGAAGGCGGAUUUAGUAGUAAAAAGAAAAUAGAGAGUUCUUUUAAAUUAGGCGCUGGGACGCGUACACACCGCCCGUCACCCUCUUCAAACGCUUACAACCAGUCUAUAACAAAUUUUUGCACUACAGAAGAGGUAAGUCGUAACAUGGUAAGCGUACUGGAAAGUGCGCUUGGAAUAACAAA